ensembl:lncRNA
CUGUUUCCUCUUAGGUAUUAGCAGCAGAGUGCCCCUGUGUUUCUCCAUCCAUCAUGGCCUGGCAUGGCAUGCACAUGGCCGUGUGGCUGGUGGGGAGUGGGGGGGGCGGGGAGGGGGGAAAGGAAAAUCAGCCAUCACAGAGUCUUUUGCGAAUGCACUGCUGCUCUUUGUGUUUUAUUUGAAGAAAUGAUUAGAGUUUAUUUUAUUGCCAGGAAAGGCUGCCAGCCUUUAUGAUGACAAAAUUGCUGAGUUUACUAGGAAGUUUAUUUAUAUAGGCCUUGAAAGACAGACUCUCCCAUGACAGACACCAGCGAAGACCUGGGUUUGCUGGGUCUCCUGUUUCCCCUAACUGUUCUGCUGACAUGUUAACCCUUUGCUCUGACAGAUUCCUGAGAAAUGAGCAAUUAAGAGCAAAAAUCUGUACAAGAUACCCCUUCCUUGUGGGGAAACUGGGUAUUCAAGGAACUCUGGGCUGGAAACCUGAAGGAACAAACGGGUUGGCAGACGUUUAUUGCUGGUACUGUGGGCCACCCCCAGCUAUGGCUAACAUAACCACAGGGAUAGCAGACAUCUUCCCAGGAGGAGAUGGUUUUAGAGUGAUCUACCACGUCCUGCCAUGCAUGUCAACUCUGGGACAAGUGAUGCCAUUAGAAGUCCUCUCAUCUCCCACUGAUGCCCCUGUUGCAGCAAUGGAAUCACCAGAAGAUCUCCCACCACCAAAAAAAACCCACAUUUUGGGGAGGGCAGAAUUGUGAUGAAUUUAAGACUCGGCAAGACAAUGAGUUUUAGGGUAAGAAAUACGUGUUUAAAUUUUCUUAGGUGUCAAAAUGCUCUGCUUUGACACAUUAAAAACGAAAAGGUUUCGUUUGGAAAAUUUCCAAGUGUGUCAUUUCAUCGUUAAUAUUCAUUCACUAAUAUUAUUUUCUUCUAUAAAGUGGACUGACCUGGGAAGGUAUCCAAAACAGACCAGAAUGAAUUAAAUAAGAAGAUUCGUAUUUCACCUUCAUUCCUGGUGCUUGUUUUGUUUUAGAGAAAAAGAAAUGCCCCCAGUUCUGCUCCAGCUCUGAUCUAACUUUCUUCCACAUGUUCAUCAAACAAGAGAGAUCAACCCUCUUCCCUCAUCACAGUCUUCAACCAGCACCUCAGUUCUACUGCUUGGCCUGGAAAAGCCUUUUAUCAGGCAGUGACGAUGGCAGGCAGUUAUCCUCUAUGGACGAAUGACAGAAGAGGAUCCUAAACAUAAUUUACAAAGACCUGCCCUGCUGGUGGAUGGAAGAAAAGGGAGACCCAGGAGAAGGCUCUCUGUAAUUGCUUGAGAGGAAAUAUGGGCUAUCUGGGCCAUUUAUAUACUAUUGCUGUUGGAUGCUCUUCUUUGUACUACGCAAGCAUGUCCCUAGAUUAACACUAUCCCCACGGAGUCAGCCAGCACAAAAGUCACUCUUUGCCUUGUGGGCACUGAGGUCCUCCUGAGAACACAACCAUAAUAAAGAAAAUAACCUGGAGCUGCACUAUUCAUGGGGGAUGUUGAAGUGUAUUCUGAAUUGAUUUGAAACCAAUCCAAUCAAAAGAAUGAAAUAUUCCCCAAUCAGGUCAAACUGACCAAAAUGAAGUGUUUCAUUUCAGGUUCAUCUCCCCCCCCCACUCUUCAAAAUAAAGUAGAAAGUAAUAUAAAAAGAAGAACACAGAAGGUUUUCAGCACAAUCACAUUUCUUCCCCCUGGAAAGCAGUGAAUCUGUGGAAGUGGCAAGUUCCUUUGAGAAAUAUCUCUCAUCAGCACUUCUGCAUUCUUUGCAACCUCCACACAGUGCUUCAUUCUGAUCCUAGGGCUUCCUGGGAAUUACGGCUCAGAUGCCUCCUUUGUCUGUCCCUAAAUCACGCUCCCCGCUCAGAGGAUACCAUCAAAAACCCACUGCAGACAACAAAGCAUCCUUGGCCACCAGGAGUCUGCGAUCAUGACAUGCCUAAAAUAUGUUCCAAUGAGUGCUGGCUUCCUUCCUUUUCUUGUAUUUCUGCAAAAAUAAAGUAUGUGCACAUGUACAUUACAUGUGUGUGUAUGUACUAGCCCAUUUUUAUUGGUAGAAAACACCACCAUCUUGGGGCAGUAUCACUACCCAGCAGGAGAAGCAGAGGAGUUUGAGACUUGCACAGCACCAAGCCAUUUCCUCAGUUCUGUGCUGACUGCUGAAACAGCUAUCAGGGCUGAGCAAGGUGUGACAGCAACACAACAGGCUCCUGGAAAAGAGGAGGGAGACCAAAGGCAUUUUCCUCUUUGAAACACUGAGAGACAAUAAAUUAUCUUUUCAGAGGGCAUUCUGAGAACAAUUCAAAUUCCUGAAUGCCUUUCCCAAACAGUGCUAAGGGAUUCUUGAGGGAAAAGGCAAACAGAGAGUAGGUGAGAGAGGGCAUCCAUCAGCACGCCGCCACCAAAGCACCUUUCCUGCUCCAGAAUUCUGGCUUUCAGCAAAUCCCUUAUGACAAUAUUCUGCAUUGUACCAGAUAGCCAAAGAGUUGUGCAAUUAGAUGUCAAAUAUGUUUGGGGAACAAAGUGUGUAAACGGGAUGUAAUGCAACACUACGUGUUUAUUUCUGAACAUGAAUCCAAGUAAAUCCAUCCAUGGCUG